rnacentral:tRNA from 1 species
UAAAAGUAAACAAAUCAAUAAGGCUGUAAACCUUAUUUAGAAUAAACAAAAUUUAUUUUUAC